rnacentral:rRNA from 1 species
UACGAAGGGGGCUAGCGUUGCUCGGAAUUACUGGGCGUAAAGCGCACGUAGGCGGGUCAAUAAGUCGGGGGUGAAAUCCUGGAGCUCAACUCCAGAACUGCCUCCGAAACUGCUGAUCUUGAGUUCGGGAGAGGUGAGUGGAACUGCGAGUGUAGAGGUGAAAUUCGUAGAUAUCUGGAGGAACACUGGUGGCGAAGGCGGCAUCCUGGACCGAUAUUGACGCUGAGGAGCGAAAGCCAGGGGAGCAAACGGG